UACAGAGGUCUCAAGCGUUGUUCGGAUUCAUUGGGCGUAAAGGGUGCGUAGGCGGCGCGGUAAGUCGGGUGUGAAAACUCCAGGCUCAACUUGGAGACGCCACCCGAUACUGCUCUGACUUGAGUUCGGUAGGGGAGUGGGGAAUUCCUGGUGUAGCGGUGAAAUGCGCAGAUAUCAGGAGGAACACCGGUGGCGGAAAGGGCGCC
rnacentral:rRNA from 1 species